UGACAUUGCAGAGAAGGGAUCCUCCCCAACAGCCCUUGUUAGGAAAUGUUUCAUUUAGUCAGAUCCCAAGUCUCAGAGUCAGGAGGACGAUAAGUCUAGAAAGAUCUACAGAGAGUUUGUUUCUGUCUGGUCAGUGAAUUAGAGACUCUGCUUCAAGGAAGAAGGUUGGACUGAGGGGAGCUGUGAUUUAACCCUGAGCACCCAGCGAGCCAUGGCCCAAGCCAAGAUCCAAGCCAGAGCCAUGGAGGGGCUGAACAGUGGCAAGUUCUGUCGAUCUCUGUCUAUGGCAGCACGUUCUACCCACCUGCUAGAGACCUUAGAUGAGCUAGAAAUCAGGUGAGAGCAUGCAGUGAAUGGCUACAGUGUAAUGUCAGCCAGGGAUGGGGGAUGUGUGCGCUAGACAUUUCUUCACAGGAACACAGUUGGAUCAAUUAAAAUAUCAUUCAUUCAUUCAUUUACAUCUCCCCCUGCACCUGAACACACAUAGGCCUCCAUUUAAUAUGCUUUUCAAAUUAUUGAAUAAUAUUUUUGGAUAAAUAUUUAAAAUGAUUUAAGAUUAUAAAAAAUAUGAAAUUUUUUUGUAUUACUGUAUACAUUUUUAUAUACAUUAUAUAUGUUUGGCUAUUUUAGUUUUAUUUGAAAAAUCAUUUGAAAAGUGUAUCCAAAAAUAUUAAAUUGAGGCUGCAGUUUGUGGAAAUCUGCAGAUGCAGUUUGAAUAGUCACAUGCCACACCAUGGGAAUCCUUGGCCAUUAUAGAUAAUGUACCUGCUUCUUUGCUUGGCUGUGCAUCAUAUGAGUUGCACCAAAAAAUAUUAGGCUUUUGGAGCUUCCGAUCUUAAACUUUACAACUUCUAAGUAGUGCUAGAGGAUCUUGCUUGAAAGAGCUUUUUGGCAGCUGCAUGAAUGAAUGAAACUACUCUGUAAGUUAAUGGCAGCCACUAAUUACAUGUAUGGCAGUUUCAUUGAUUCCUUUAUUAAUUCAUCACUGUGACUUGGAAGUUUCAUCUUUGUCAUAGACAUUAACAUCACAAAAUGGUUUUGUAUGUUAUGCUGUCGUUCACAGUGGCUAUUUUUGCUACAACACUCAUUUUCAGGUUUAGCUUUGAUAACCUGAUUGCCAUCACAAUGUUAUCGAAAAUAGGAAGACUAAUUACCCUGUAUUUGUGGAAGUGAUCAGAUGGCUCUACAUUCACUGAUCAGACACAACAUUUAAACUACUGAAAAAGUUAAUAAUAUUGAAUAUAUCAUUACAAUGGCACCUGCCAAGCAGUGGGAUAUAUCAGUCAGUAUACUGAAUAGUCAGUUCUUGAAUUCCAUGUGUUGGAAGCAGGAAAAAUUGCCAAGCAAAAAAAGGGCCAAACAGUGAGAAGGGCCAAACAGUGAUGUUUAGACGACUGAAUCAGACCACCUACAAGACGGUAUGUCUUGUGGGUUGGUCCUGGUAUGCAGUGGUUAGUACCUACCAAAAGGGCAAAGGACAGCUAAUAAUCCAGAAUCAGGGUUAUGGGUGCCCAGGCUCAUUGAUUCACUUUGGAGGCUAAAGCUAGCCCCUCUGAUCUGGUCACACAGAAAAGCUACUGUAGCUCAAACUGCUAAAAAACAAACAAAAACCAAACAUAAUGCUGGCACUGAUAAAAGGUAAAAGAAAACACAGUGCAUUGCAGUUUGCAGACCAUCUAGAAUGCCUGUGAUGACCCCUGUCCACCGACCGAAAGCGCCAUCAGUAGAGACCUGAGCAUCAGAACUGGACCGCACAGCUAUAAAUGAAGGUUGCAUGGUCUGAUGAAUCACUUUUCUUUAAGAUUAGGUGGAUGGCUGGGAGCAUGUUUUCUUGGGGAAGGGAUGGCAGCAGCAGAAGGCAGGCUAGCAGAGGCAGUGUUAUGCACUGGGCAAUGUUCUGCUUGGAAACCUUGGCUUAUGGCUAGUAGACAUGUGCAAUUCAUUUCAGUCCAAAUGCAAAUUCGGAUGAAUUUCAGGCAAUGUGGGCAUUCGGGUGCUUCCGAAUGUCCGAAUAGCUGAAUUGUCGAAGUUCCGAAGUGCCGAAGUUCCAAAGCACAGUAUUGCCUAAGUACUAAUAUACUUACCGAAGACAAAGAAUGUUACACUGUAUACAAUUUUAAAUAAAAAGUAUACAAACAAAAACCAGGAUUCAGCUGUAAGCAAUUGCAAUACUUACAACAAUCAAGUAACACGCAUUCAUAUAAAAUGUAAGUUACUUGGCCAGUCAAUGUAAUGACAGGAAUGAAUAAGUAGAUAGCUCCCUAAAUCCCACGGUAUUAGGUAGCUAUCUACUAAAAGGCUGAAAGACCUGAAUUGGUCUUUAAGACAAAUUUACUAAUACUAAGUAAAGAUUACUUAGUAUUAGUAAAUUAUGCCCCUACUCGCUAUACCGCGAGUAGGGGCAUGUCUAUUAAACAGUAAGCAGCCUAUUGUCCUGCCCCCUGGCCCCCACCCCUGAGCAGUGGGUGAGGGCCAUAAAUACCGAUUAGGGGGGGACCUAAUGUCCUCCCCCUGGCCCCCACCCAUGAGCGGUGGGGGGGGCCCUAAAUAAAAAUUGGGGGGGGGAGGACCUAAUGUCCUCCCACCUGGCCCCCACCCCUGAGUGAGGGCCCUAAAUAAAAAUUGGGGGGGCUUAAUGUCCUCUGAGCAGUGGGUGGGGGCCCUAAAUACCAAUUAGGGGGGUACCUAAUGUCCUCCCCCCUGGCCCCCAUCCCUGAGUGGUGGGUGGGGGACCUAAAUUAGAAAUGUAACCCCCCAAAGCCCUAGUCACACCCUCCCCAAAAAAUUAACCCCUACCUACCCCCCUCACCCUAAAAAUAAUGAGGGGGGGGGGGGGUUCUUUCUUCUAAAAUCUUUUUUCAGCCCCAAAAAAGGCCAAAUAAAAAACCAUAAUAACCGACGCAGUUAAUUAAAAUUUAAAAAAAAAAACUGAGCGCAAGAAAAAUAAUCCAUCUUCACCCAUGGAGGGCUCCGCGCAGACUGAGCUCUGCAGGGUGAGGGAAGGCUUAUAAAGCCUUCCCCCGCCCUGCAAUUAUGCUCACAGCACUCUGAUUGGUGGGUUUAAGCCAUCCUAUCAGAGUGCUCUGACAGGUAAAUGAAGAGACUGACAGGUAAGUCUCUACGUUUACCUGUCACAGCACUAUGAUUGGUUGGCUUGAAAUCCACCAAUCAGAGUGCUCUUUGUCAUUUUACACAGUGUGGGAAAGUUCUUUGGAAUUUUCCCACGCUGUGUAAUUUGACUCAUAACACUCUGAUUGGUGGAUCAGAGUGUUAUGAGUCAAAUUACACAGCAUGUGAAAAUUUCAAAGAACAUUAGGUCCCCCCCUAAUUGGUAUUUAGGGCCCCCACCCACCGCUCAGGGGUGGGGGCCAGGGGGGAGGACAUUAGGUCCCCCACCCACCGCUCAGAGGUGGGGGCCAGGGGGAGGACAUUAGGUCCCCCCCAAUCGGUAUUUAGGGCCCCCACCCACCGCUCAGGGGUGGGAGCAAGGGGGGAGGACAUUAAGUCCCCCCCAUUAUUUUACUUUAGGGCCCCCACCCGCCGCUCACGGGUGGGAGCCGGGGGGGGGGAAAUAGGUCCCCACUUUAGUUUAAAAGGCUCAGGAGGGGGGAAUGCUUUAUUUUGUAAAAAAAAAAAAAAAAUUUUAAACAGUGAGCAGCCACAGGCUGCUCACUGUUUACUAGACAUGCCCCUACUCGCGGUAUAGCGAGUAGGGGCAAAAUGUACUAAUACUAAGUAAUUUUUACUUAGUAUUAGUAAAUUUGUCUGAGGUGUUUCAGCCUUUUGGUAGAUAACUCCCUAAUACCGUGUAUAGAAGUAUAUGGUAAAAGGCCAAAACUACCACAGUGUGCUAAAUGAGCACCAGGACUGACUGAGCAACAGGAUUAGCUUAAGGGUUUUCAAAGAUUAGUGACAUAUUAAUUUCAAAGGUGAGUAUAACAUGGGUCAAGUCCUGGGGAAAAAAGUGUGUGAACUUACCCAAGAUCCACCCCACCCCCAAGAAAAAAUACACUUGUAUGCAUAUAUAGACGCGUGCACACACACACUGACAGGUGCACACAGACACACACUCAGACAGACACAUACUCAGACACUCACACAGUGGUAUAAUUUAAUUAUUUGCUGCCCUAGGCAUGACUAAACGUGAGCACCCCCCUAAUCUCAAUUUACCACCCCUUCCUGUCAAGGGCGCACCUCUUCCUGAUUAAUAACCUACCCUUUCCUCUUUAGACUCCACCUUUUAAAGAAAUACUAUAGUGCCAGAAAAACAAAGCUGUUUUCCUGGCACUAAAAUUCCCUAUAGUGCCCCCCUCCCUCGUGUCUUCCCCUCCCCCACUCGACACUGAAGGGGUUAAAAUCCUAUGGGUAUUUAGCAGAUGCUGGAUGUCCUCAUGCACAGCGUGAGAAUGUCCAGCAUCAGUUAGGUGACUUUUGGUCACCUAACCACCUGAAAGUCCACUCGAGGCAGCCACUCGAGGUGGAGUUACCCCUCAAGGUAAUUAUUGCAGUUUCUGAGAAACUGCAAUAAUUAAACUUGCAGGUUUAAGGGGACUGGGACACUGCACCCAGACCACUUCAAUGAGCUGAAGUUGUCUGGGUGCUUAUAGUGUCCCUUUAAGCACACUCUCUGACAGACACACACAGAUUCACUGACACACACUGGCAGAUACACACUGACAGUAACACACACACUCAGUGACAAACACACAGACGUCACUGAUUUGACACACACACACACACAUUAAUUGACGGAGAGACACACACAAACACACUGACAGACACUCAUUGACAGACACACACUACUAGUCACAAACACACACUAAAUGACAAACAGACUCUCACUGAUUUGACAGACACUCACAAACAUGAAUACACUAACAAAAUCACAUACACACAAACAUACACAUGCAUACACUAACAGAAGCACAUACACACAAACAUACACAUUCAUACACUAACAGAAGCACAUACACUCAUACAUACGCUAACAGAUGUAAAUACACUCAUACACAUACACUAGCAGACAUACAUACACUCAUGCACUAACAGAUAUACAUACUCAAACACUAACAGACAUACCUACACUCAUACACACACUGACACCAACACACACAUACAGUAACAGACAUACACUAACAGACAUACACACACGCAUACAAUAACAUACACACACACAGAGACAUACACACACUAACAGACAUACAUACACACACACACAUACAUACACAAACAGACAUAGACACAAAUUAUUAAUAUAAUUAGAAAUAAACAUUUUCCACCCACCCAGGGGCUGUUCUAAUAAGACGCAGUGAGGAUGCCGCGUUCUCCCAGCUCUGCUCCCUCACGGGCUGUCUACUGAUCCUGGGAGCUGGAAUAUGACGUCACAUUCCGGCUCCCGGCAUCAGCAAACGGCAUGCGAGGGAGCAGAGCUGGGAGAACACAGCUCCCUUGACGCGUCUGAUAGGUAAACAGGUGCCCGCCGGCGGGGUCCAUCAGGUGGCCCCCCCAUGACAGGGGAGACACGGGGGGCAUUUGGGGGCAGCAUUUUUUGCCGUCCCCUGGUUAGUGCCUGCAGGGGGAACGGCGUUCCUGCUGUGAAAAAAGUGCAGGAACGCCGUUCCCACAUGUUCCUGCAGGACUGGAGUAUAAUAUAUUUAAUUUUCCAUGUUACUAUAAUAAGUGAUGUAUUGGAUAUGAACACUAUCAGCGUUAUUCAAAAUGUCCACGUCCUAUGCAUAAAAACAUCUCCAAAACAUUAAAGCGCCACCACCAUAUUUAACCAUUGGCAUGAGGUACUUUUCCAUAUAGCUACUUCUAUGUGUGCAUGCCAAACUCACCUCUGGUAUUUAUUGCCACAAAGCUCUAUUUUUAUUUAAUCUGUCCAUAGAACCCUAUACCAUUUAAAGUUCCAGUAGUGUUUAGCAAAUUAAAGAUGCUUGAGUUUGUUUUUGGAUUGGAGGAGAGGCCUUUUCUUGAAACCCUUCCAAACAACUUGUGGUGAUGUAGGUGACACCGGAUUGUAGUUUUGCAGACUUUCUGACUCCAAGAUGCAACUAAUUUCUGCCAUUCUCUAGCUGUGAUCUUUGGAGAUUUUUUGGCCACUCGAACUAUCCUCUUUACAAUGUGUUGAAACUAUAUAGACAUAUGUGAUUCAUACCAUUUCCAGUUAAAUGUAACUUAUUUAUUAUUAUUGUACUGGAUAUGAACACUAUCAAGGUUAUUCACUUAAAGGACCAUUCCCCCCCAAAAUAAUUUUAAAAUAAAAUUCACUAUUUUUCUAUGCAUGUAUUCAUUGGGGGUAGAUCUUAAAAGAGCUUGUUUAUGAAAAGCAGCCUUAGCAAGUCCUCCCCUUUUUCCUUGGAAGAGACUAACAGUCUCUUCUUGAGGAAAGAGCCAAUCAGAAGCUUCUCAUUCGGAAACCUCUGAAUCUGUAUGCACUAGGGCGGGCUCGCCGGCUCGUGCACACGUCUGAUCUGAGGUCUGAAAAUAUGAAGACACUGGUCUGAGAUCUGUGGGGGAGGAGGCAGUCGUGCUCAUGUAAAGCACACCAGUCAUGUCCGUUAGCUCAGGGAGUUAACGGGAAAAGGUGGCGAACGUCCCUGGCUGUUUGACAGCUGAGGGUGUGUUCCAUGAGAAAUCAGCACUUUUAUAAACUGGGGUGAAAAUAAGAUACUCCUAACCCAUAAAGCAUUUCAGCAAGCUUUAUUGGUGUGGAGUGGUUCUAUAAGAGAUAAUUCAAAGUGAAUUUCAAAUUUAAGGUCAAACUAGGCCAACUGGAAAAUUUUCUUAAAAAGCUGUGCUUUUAGUUUGGCUACUUUGAUGUGAAAUUUAAAAUGUACUUUGAAGUUUCACUUUAGUAAGUAACCUUGUAGAUAUUAGAUGUGAAGAUUUUUACAUUUUUUCAAAGGCUACAGGAAUACAGGAUUACAGUUAAAGGGAACCCAUCAGUUCCUAGGAUUUUUUGAAUGUUAUGUUUAAUCUUCUCUUUAUUUAUCACAUAUAAUAAACUAAAAUGUAAAGAACCAUCCACCAAAACUACGGCAACACCUUCUCAGUUAAUGAUUUUUAUAUUGCCCUGGCCUUGACCUGGUUUGUAGUGACAUCUGGCAUCUCUUGCUAAGUAGAUCAGGUAGCCAGAUAAGUUGCCAUCCUAAUAUAUUUUGACUACAAUAGAGGAAAAACUGGGGCACUCAUAGCACUAUAACUCCUACCACUAUUGUAAUAGCUAUUGACAAGUUGCUUUAAAUUUAGAAAUCCACACCACUGUAUCUACGUCUGUUCUGGAAUUUAAUAAAUACUUAAAGUAACAGUUUAGGCGCCAUAACAGUUUCAGAUAAAUUGAGUUUGUAUCAUGCCAGGAGGCUCUUACCGUCAGGGUUAAACCAUUCUCAAAUGCCUAUAGUGCCAUUCUCUAGGUCCACCGGGCACCUGGCUUCUGAAUUUGAGUUACAGGAAGCGCGGAGCAGUGCUGGACAGGAGUUCCGCUGAUUGGCUAGAGUGGUCCGCUGAUGUGUACGGAUCUUAUUUUAUGAAAGGGGAACUUCUGAUUGGCUUAAAGCAUCAGCUGAAUGGUGUAGCCAAUCAAACUUACAUUCUUAAGUCAGAUGCCACCAGGAGUGACCUGGAGAUCGCCACUGGAGGUUUAACACCUGAAGGUAAGAGUGCGCUGGAGGAUAGUUUUGAAUAGUGGUUUCAUUUUUAGUUUUUUUGGUUUACUGCUUCACAUUGGAAGGCCAUUUUUUGUUUUGUUAAAAAUUAAAAAUUGUAUAAUUUAAAAUUAUCAGUAAAAUGUUUUUUUUUGUGGGGGGGGGCUGUUUUAGUUGUGUUAUUGAUUCUAAUAGAAUUUGUUUCUAUAAUAUUAUUAUAUGAUUUUCAUAAAUCUCUGCUUUGUUCUUUUUCAGUGGUUUUCUUAGGAACCUGAAAAUAAAUGUUUAUGUAGAGUUCAGUUAACUGUAGGUUAAUUAACAGGGAACUUGUCACAUAUACAUUCAAGUAUUGAAAGAAUGUAAGCAGUCUGACACCUUAUAAGUCUCGGUGCUGCUGUGGACAAAGGUAUCUAGUUGUGUAAAUAUAUCUUCCACCAUUUCACUUGGACUAUAGGGAUACUUUACUUUUACGGGUUUGACAAGGGGCGGGUAACUUUCUAAUAACAAUUGAUGCAACAAAAAUGUAAUUUAGAACAAGAACAAUGUAUCUUAUUUACGCAUGCUUAUUUCUAACAUUUAUUAUAAUUUAAAGAAACAUUACUGUGAGUAAUAUUGCUGUGGAGCACUGUUAUACACUCAGACUCACCAACAAUAUGAAGCUUCUAGAAAAGAGGAACAUUAGUAUAGAAAGAUUUGGUUCCAACAUAGGCACGGCCCCUUCUAACUUGGGAGGUGUGUGUGACAGAUGUUUGACCAAAUGUAAACAUUGUGCUUUUUGAGAAACAGCAAGUUGUACACUGUCUGAGAAAGGGGACAGCAUUUAUGCACCAAACCAAUAUCUGGGCUCUUCACUAAAAUCCAAAUACGCUUUAUAUCUAUAUAUGGACAUUUGUGAGGUAUUGUGGAAGUAAAUAGAACGAAAACAUGUGUUUAUUAAAACACUAUAUACAUAUUUUAAGGGAGAACUACCACUUUUCUGGGAAUUAUACUAUUGAAUAAAGCAUUGAAAAUUACCUAGAAUUACCACACACACAUUACAUACAGCAAGCACACACCUCACAUACAUACAAACAUUAGAUAAAGCCAGCACACACUUUGUAUACAAUAUAUACAGCCAGCACACACCACCUAUGCAUAUAUACAGCCAGCACACACCACUCUCAUUAGAUAUAGCCAGCACACACUUUGUAUACAAUAUAUACAGCCAGCACACAUCACACACAUUAGAUAUAGCCAGCACACACCUCAUAUACAUAUAUACACAUAUACACACCACCUAUACAUAUAUACAGCCAACACACAUCACACACCUUAGAUAUAGCCAGCACAUACCUUGUAUACAAUAUAUAUUGUACAGCCAGCACAGGAAGCACACCACACACAUUAGAUAUAUCCAGUACACACCUCGUAUACAAAUAUAUACAGCCAGCACACACCACCUAUACAUAUAUAGCACACACCACACACAUUAGAUAUAUCCAGUACACACCUCGUAUACAAUAUAUACAGCCAGCACACACCACCUAUACAUAUAUAGCACACACCACACACAUUAGAUAUAGCCAGCACACACUUGGUAUACAAUAUAUACAGCCAGUACACAGCACACACAUUAGAUACAGCCAGCACACACCACCUAUGCAUAUAUACAGCCAGCACACACCACACACAUUAGAUAUAGCCAGCACACACCUUGUAUACAAUAUAUACAGCCAGCACACACCUCAUAUACAUAUAUACACACCACCUAUACAUAUAUACAGCCAACACAUAUCACACACAUUAGAUAUAGCCAGCACACACCUUGUAUACAAUAUAUAUUGUACAGCCAGCACACACAUUAGAUAUAGCCAGCACACACCUCAUAUACAAUAUAUACAACCAGCACACACCACCUAUACAUAUAUAGCACACACCACACACAUUAUGUGCAUGCAGACGCAGACACACACACCUUUUGGAAAAUAAAUCAGAAAUAGCAACACCGAGGCAAAAAUAGCCAGUUGUCACAAUUAGCAAAGUUGGAGAAUUUUACUAGAGCAUAUCAGUUUUUUCCAUUCAAAUUUAAUUUGGGAAAAUCCAGAUUUUAGUGAAUAACUGCCAAUAUCCAGGUCUGAGCAGGGUCUUCAAAUUUUGUGAUUUUAAAUGUCUUUUUUUUUGUCAGGAGAAGUAGAUUAAUAUGGAAGACAAGUAGACUGGGAUACCACUUUUGUCCAUUAAAAAAGUAGAUUUUUAAUUUUUUUUAAUUUUCACCCAUGAGGUGGAAUAAGUAAACGUAGCAUUAAAAACUGUGUUCCAGUUUAAAUGGUCAUUCCCCUUUAACACACAUAAUUUUUUUUCAAUAUUUUAGUUUAUUUUCUCUUAAGUGAUGUCAGUGAAGUGUGCAUUGAAACUGCAGACCAGAUAUGGCACACUUCACUAACACCAACAGAGGUGCCUGGAUUAUGCUGCUAUAGUGCUGAGACAGAAUGAUCUCAGCAGAAAGUUAGUAUGAUACGCAGAGCAUCCACCAAACAGACUAUAUAGAAACAAGCAACAUAUUACUAAGUUAUUCCUUAAACUUCAAAUUGUAGUGAAUUGAAAUUUGAAUUGCAAAACUAAGGCUAAAAUAGUGACUAUACCUAGAUUGCAGAAUUUUUUACCAUCAUUUACUUUAGCCUAAAUUUUACCGCUACAAUUCAGAGUGUUGAGAAUAAACUCUGCAGAAAGUAGAUUAACCUAUUAAACAUAAGCAGAAUGCUGCAAACAAUAAUUCGGAGAAACAUUAAUACAACGAAUCCAGUAUGAAUUAGAUGGUCGAAGGAAAGAAAGCGGGACCUGGUAAACUGGUACAGGCCUCUGGGGUAACAAUACUCGCUGGCGCAUGUGUUUGAUGGAUGAGACGAUUGUAAUGCAAGAAUGCAGAGCCAAUUUAUGGGACUAUGAGAUUGCUGCAAAAUGUGCACAAUGCCAAUUCUCCCCACCAGUGCCAUAGAGGGAAAGUUCAAAGAGCAUAUGGCCAACUAAUUAGUUCAUCCAGGCAAUUCACCUUACAAAUCAGUCAAAGCCGAUCUUAGUUUCAAGAGAAAAAAAAAAUUAAAAAAUUAUAUAUAUAUAUUUGCAGCCUAAGUGAAAAGCUCUUUGAAGUGCUCAUACAAAAUAUGCAUUUACAGUAUAUGUACUCAUGGCAAAUCCACUUUUAAGGUAAUUUAGAUGCAAUUUCCCUUUAAGAGGUUAGUGAAUAUUGCCUUUCUAUUUUCAGAGAUUUCCAUGUAGAGUGAAACAAUGGAAUAGAUGAGUAAUGUUACUGAGAGCUUAGUCCGGUGCUGCUCAGAGCUUUAUGAAUUAUGAGCUGCUGUCAGCAUUUUCUUGGAUUGCAGUUUGGGUGGUUCGCUUUUCCCAGCUUUUCCGCAGCAUGGAAAAUGUGAAUAAGAGGGUGGCGAAGAAUAACUUGCAGUCUCCUAGGUCAUUUCACACAUAAGUAAAUUAGUUUGGUAGGAUUAAGAAAUCUGGAAAUCUGAAGACAAUCCACGGAUACUGAAAUCUAACUUACUUUUCUGAUGCACUAAUGGUUCUAUUAAUCAUGAAGCAGCAACCAUUACAUUGGCAUUUAAAUAUGUAAAUGCAUUAAAUAUGGGUAAAGGGAAACUAUAUAGGAUAAAUGCCCACCAAUGUUAUAUAUAUAUAUAGCUAAUGCAUUAAAAAUGAAUGCAAAAAAACCCUCAAGAAAACUAAAAUAAAAAAGAUCUCUUUAGAGCUUUAGCUGCAGACAGCCUCCUCCCUGAAAAGGGGGUAAUGCUUUAAUCAGGAGCAUCUCGUUCUAGUCUAUGUUUUCUAUGCUUGUCCCAUAAAUCCCUUUUGAGUAACCCCAAAAGUGACAGUGCUUUUUAAAAAAAAUCAAAAUCACCUUAAGGGGUCAAAAAUAAUAUGUGCCUAAAUAUACAUAACAUAAUCAAAAAACUAGCGAGGGCGAGUAUUUCAGACGGGCUGUAUUGUAUACCUGUAUGUGAAACGCAAGCCAAGUCAGUGUACCAAAGUGUGAAGUAUGGUCUGUUGGUGCCUCCCAUGUGCUACAAAGGAUCCCUCAGAGAAACAGGAAGUACAGUGACAUUUUCUGUUUCCUCCUCAUUUCUGCUAUAAAUACUAUUUAAAUAAUGGAGAUAUUACGUGAUUAACCAUGUCUGAUAAUGUUUUUUGUUUUUUUUAACUUGGUUUUGUUGAUGAGAACCAUUUAACCCCUUAAGGACACAUGACAUGUGUGACAUGUCAUGAUUCCCUUUUAUUCCAGAAGUUUGGUCCUUAAGGGGUUAAUCAUUCGCUGGCUUAAAGAGACACUCCAGACACCCAAGACACUUAAGUUGCUGAAAUGUUUUGUGUGUAAAGAGUGGUGAUUUUAAUAGAAAUUGGCAUUUUUAUAUAUUAACCCUGUUACACUUCCAUGGAUGUCAGUUUGACAAUCAUUCCUUUUACUUCCUGGUUUGGUUAGCUUAGUGGAGCUAAGCACCUGCCUUGCAAAGACUUCUCUUGUCACUGCAUUGGGAAGUCUGUGAUUGGACAGCAACAGAAAGUCUUGGCUGUGUUAGAAGGGGAGGUUUGAAAAUACUGCAGGCAAGAUAUCUACAUGUUUUGCCAGCUGUUUUAAGAUAUACACCAAUGAACAAAAUGCAUACGUAAAUGGUGAUUUUUUAUAUUUUUUACAAUUUUUGUGUUUAGAUAGUGGAGUGUCUCUUUAAGGAAGUCUGUUUUUUUCCUUUCGCUCAGAAUAGAGUUAGCAAGACUAUUUAAUGGCUGGAGGAGACAGUGAGUCAUAUAACAGCUCGUUUUUUUAGCACUCUCAUGCCAAUCCAUUUGUGGGAGUUUGAUAAAAAAAAAAAGUAGCAAGCCUGGAAAUUAAAUCAUCUCCAACACAGAUUAAAGGGACACUGCAUUUUUAAUACACAGGGUGAGGCAAAAGCUAUAUGUUAUAAGGAUAUAACUAGUAGUGAAAUGAACAAAAAAUCACUUAGUACCUUACAUAGAUGUGUGGGUAAUAUAUUAUGUGAUCUGCCCAAUAUAAUGUUUUAGAAUCUCAUAAUGGAUGGAUGGUGACAUCAUCUGUGCAGUUAUUCCCCACAAUUAUUUAUAUAUGACAACAGUGCCUAUUGGGAGCCCUACUGGUGCACUACAAAUUAACUUCUACACUACCUUAACACUAACACUAACCAUAACAAAAUACUAUGUAGUGUAAAAUAUUAAUAAAGUGGUCUGGGUGCAGUGGUCCUGUCGUUUUAACCAUGCAAUGCUAAACACUGCAAUUUGGAAGAAACUGCUGCGUUUGCAUUGCGGGUUCAAACACACCUCCAGUAGCUGUCUUCACUAGAGGAGCUUCUGCUGCACUGACUGAUGUGCGCACAUACAUAAGUUUCCAAUACUCCUCUAUGCAUUAGAUUGGCCAUUGGCUUGACAGCUGGAUGAUGUCAUGGAAAAUGAGCAAAUGCCAGCGCUGAGGUAGUUUUGCUGUUGGAAUAAUGGUAAGUAAAAAUAUUUCCCUUUUUAGGUUUUUACUGGAAAUGAAGGGGGGAUAUGGGGGAAGGGGGCACCUAAAACAAACAGGUUUGUAUUCAUUUCACUCUAGUGUUCCUUUAAAGAAACACUAUAGGGUCAGGAACACAAACAUUUAUUCCUGACCCUAUAGUGUUAAAACCAUCAUCUAGUGUGCCCUCCUCCCUAAAUAAAGUAAAAUCAUACUUGUAUUCAAGUUUGUAGCUGCUGGCUCUGCCCCUGCCUGCUGACAUAAUCAGAAGUGAUUCUCUGAGCUGAUCACAAUGCUUCCCCAUAAGAUUGGCUGAGAAUAUCAAGGAGGCAGAACCAGCACAAGUCAAAUACAGCCCUGGCCAAUCAGCAUCUCCUCAUAGAGAUGAAUUGAAUCAAUGCAUCUCUAUGAGGAAAGUUCAGUGUCUGCAUGCAGAGGGUGGAGACACUAAAUGGCAGUGCUGCUUACUCUGCAGCACUGCCCCAGGAAGCACCUCUAGCAGCCAUCUGAGAAAUGGUUAAUUGAGUUAUUACUAGGCUGUAAUGCAAUAAGCUGUAGUUGUUCUGGUGACUAUAGUGUCCCUUUAAGAUGAGUGUGUGUGUGUGUGUGUAUGUGUUACACAAACACACACUGUAUAUACCAUAUAUUGCAAAUUUAACUGAUUUUAUUUGUCUCAAUUCUCCUGCAGCCGAAUAGAUCCCUAUUUUUUAUUUUCAAUUCUACGAGAUUCAUUUAAAAAUUGCUCAACCACAUAGCAACUCAAUAUUCCUGCAAAAAAUACUGUUAAUGUAGAGUAGAUUUUCUUUUAGUUUUAUGUUUUUUUAGGGGGUUGGGUAUCCUUACAGGGUUUAGGGGAGUUUGGGUGAGCAUUAGGGUGAUUUAGGAUCAGAGAACCCUAGCAUUUUAGGUGCAAUUCACAAGGUCUGUAUAGGGGAAAUGUAACAACGAAUGAAGGCACUUUGAGUGCAGUUCAGUUGCAGAUUGGAUGUUUGUGAAUAGCCAGAUGUUUGUGAAUUGCAGUUGAAUAAAAAGUGAAUAUUUGGUUAAAGUGCGUGUUGGUAAAAUUGAAUGUGUUCUUUUUCCCCUCAUAGAGUCCAAGAGUUACGUGAUGCAGCAGCAUCUUUGGAGAUAGAGAAAGAAAGUCUAAUAGAAAAAAUCCACAGUGUUCAGAACAGCCAGGAUAUGAGGAACAUCAGUGAUGGUAAGGAGCUGCUUCAUACUACUCAUAUUACCCUGGGGGGAUAAAAACAAAAUUGAUGGAUUAUGGUAAUGUAAUCCCUGGUUUAGCCGUUUUCCUGGCAUAGAAUCCUACAGUGCCACCCUCCUUUGCGCCCCCCCAUGGUGCCGAAGGUGUUAAAACCCCUUCAGUCACUUACCAGAAUCCAGCGCCGAUGUCCCUCAGCGCUGGGUCAGGCUCUGCGGGGGAGAUCUAAUGUGCAUGUGCGGCAAUGGCCGUGCUCGCAUUAGAAUUUCCCUAUAGGAGAGCAUUAUUCCUCUGUUUUCCUAUGGGGAAAAAAUCUGACACUGGAGGUCCUCAUGCAGAGCGUGAGGACAUCCAGCCCCAGAUAAUGGAACAAAAGUCGGUUUCAAAUCAGGAAGCUCUCUAGUGGCUGUAGUUAUUUCUCAAUAACUGCAAUAAGUACUAUUACAGGGUUAAGGGUCAUGGGACAUUACACCCAGACCACUUCAAUGAGCUGAAGUGGUCUGGGUGCCUACAGUGUCUCUUUAAAGUUACCAUGUACAAUAUGUGCAACUGCUUUUAUUUAAUAUUUUAACAAUUCAUAGAUUACUCCAUUCUUCGAACUUUGCUCUGACAUCACCAGGCUCUUCAGUGACUCUGCUACCAAUUAUACCUGUGACAUAAAUUGGGAUCAGCAUAAGCUUAUUUAUGGAUUAUUAUAUGUCAGAUAAUGGUUACAACACUAAUUACAAGUUAUAUUCACUUAUGCUACAACAGGAUUAUUUUCUAAAGUGAGACUUCAAAGUAAAUUUAAGAAAAGCCGACCUUAAACCAUAGCUGACUUAGAGAAUUUUUCCAGUUCAGCUAUUUUUCCUUGAAUAUGAAAUUCACUUUGAAUUAUAACCCUAUAUAUGUUGGAGCUUUUAAAUACGGAGAUUUGUGUAUGUUUUGUGCGAAAACACAGUGUAACAUAUACCAUCUGAAAUAAUAUGGUGGCUAAAUGUAUAGUUAUAUUGAACUGGUAAAUGUUCAGUGUAGCAAAAUUAUAUAUAAAGUAUGUGUAGCGGAGUAGUAGGGGUUAAUCCACGGUAUCUCCACAGGUAGUCAGGAUAAGCAGGUAAAACACAGGUAGUGUAGUAACAAUCCUUUCCUUCCAAGAACUAGACGACACAUAGCUUGGAGGUCAACUGAACUUUUAUUCCACAGGACAGUAUUUAUGCAGUUCCCCAUGCAAGGGAUUUACCAACUGGUAUUGCAGGGGAUUUAAUCAAGGGGACUGUGUGGGAAACUGACCCUGCAAGGCUAUUUUCCACCAUGCCCUGCUGUCCUGGAGAGAUAAUCACCCAAGAAUGUACUAUUAAUUGGAUUAUCUCUCAGUACAUCAAAAUACUGCUUGUUAUAUAAAAAUACCCAACUGACAUAAUAUUCAUGACAUUUAACCGAAUUACCCCUUUUUACAUAGCUGGGAUCUGGUGAAAUACCGCUCAGAUCCCUGCGCAAUUAAAUGAACGCCGUUCGAAUUACAGUUUUGUAUUAACAGGUAUUGAAAUGCACGAACAGACUGGUUACGUUAGAAUACCGAAAGAACCAGUUUCCCGAAUGGCCUGGAAGCCCAGCUGUGUACGUGCCGUCGAGUAGCCGAUUUUAAUUCCAGGCACUCAACAACCAAAAACCGCUAGACUUUCGUGAACAAAGAUGGCCGCUGCCACGUGUUCGGUAUACGAACGGCGGCCAUACACAUAAUACCUUAAUUGGUUGCGGAUACAUUGUAUCUAUCGUUAGAUGGGAGACACACGACAUCCUUUGGGUGGUCUCCCAUUUGUUAUAUUAUUUGUUUCACGAACAGCGUUGAAAGUCACAGUUCGUGAAACUACCUUGUGAAUGCUGGCGGCUUUCGUGCCGCAAGCAUACGAAUGCUAUGGGUCUAAUUAUAAUACGAAAUACAAAUACAGACAUAUGCAGGCAAUCUUAAAGCAAUAGCAUCCUAUACAUCAAAUGACCGUCUUAAGUGGCUAGGUUUGCCACAGUAUGCAUAAGCAAAUACUACCUUAAUUUCAUCACAAUAUCAACAAUAGGACAGAGGCUCAGAUUCUCCUUCUGAAGAGACAAGCUUUAGUGACUUAAAGGGACACUCCAGACCCUUAAAACACUUUAGCUUUAUGUGUGAAGACUGUGUCCUCUUUGUUUCAUUUUGCAAAAAGUGCAGAUUUUAAUAGAAAUUGGCAAUUUUUUAAAUUAACCUGUUUACACCCCUUGGCUUUCAAGCAGAAGACAGGUCCUGUUACUUCCUAGUUUGGUAGCUCAGUGGAGCUAAACUCAGACGGCAGCAAUAGCUCAGAGCACCUACCUUUCAAAGACUUCUAAUUUAGGGUGCAUUGAGAAGAACACAGAGCACCCAAAACCUUGUACGCACAAAGAAAUCACCCAGAAAAGGAUUCUUUACUACACUAUGGCAGUACCACACUGUCAAACCCAUAAAAGAAUGAUUAUUUGAAUUUACUGCCAGUUGUUCCACUGUCAGGCACCAGACUAUUGCUUUUUCCAGCUGAUGGCAAUUGAAGAUUAUGCUAGCUUUAGUGUACCUAUAAUCUUAAUUUUAGUAAUGACAGGAGGUGAGUAUUUUGCAUUAAACUCUCUUUACUAACUCACACAGCAGUAAAGAAAAGUGAAAAGAUAACCAAUCAAAAUGCAAUAGGAAGCAUAGUAUUUACAGAGAUAAGGCUCCUCCCCCUCUUUCGAAUGCGACAUCAUGAAUACAGGUCUAAAGAGUCCAAAGGUCCAUAACAGGCGCCAACAGGCGAUUAUCCAAAAAUGAAGGUUGAACAGGCGAAGUCGUAGUGGAGUCCGUCCUGAUAAUGAGCUGUAAAGUCACGGAAUUACACUGAAAGAGAACGUGAAAUAGGUUAGGAACCGAUCUGGAGACUGGUUGAAUUAAGGGUAACAGCCCAUGAUUAGUUACAGGAAUAACAUAUAACUGAAUAUAACAAUAGCAGAAUACCAAGUAUCAGAAAACGAUCAAGGCUACCGCCAAUAAAUGUCCAGAGUGAGUAAACACAAACGGAGACUGAAGCAUACAGAGUCAAACAUACUUACGUGAGCCUUAUCUCCCAAGGGAGGGAUGGGCGGGAAAAUACUCGCCUCCUGUCAUUACUAAAAUUAAGAUUAUAGGUACACUAAAGCUAGCAUAAUCUUCAAUUUUACCACAUGACAGGAGGCUUUGUAUUUUGCAUUUUUAACGCUGAUGUAGGAGAGAUGAGGCUGCUCCCGGGUUCGGGCGGAAGUAAAAUGUCCGAAAGGUGGAUUCUCGCGACCAGUCCGCGGAGCGUAGGAUAUCUGUCAGAGAAGCACCCGCCGAGAAGGCCGAAGAAGCCGCCGCUCCGCGGAUGGAGUGGGCUCCGAAGGUCUCGUCCACUCCUGCCAGUGAUAGAAUCCAUCUUAUCCACCUGGCGAGGGUAGUAACCGAGACUGGCACGUGUGGCCUAACAUAAGAUACUAACAGUUGACCCGAGGAGGAGACCCUGAGAGGGGAUGUGACCUCCACAUACCGACGUAGGGUAGCAACCACGCAGAGCUGUGGGUCAGACGGGAAAAACGGAUAAAAGACCGACGUAGAGUCCGACUUGUCCGACGUGAAACUCGAAAGGUAACUCCCUCUGGUGAGACCGAAAAGGCGUCGAAGUCGAAAGCACGGACGUCCGAGACCCGGCGGAACGAGACAAGGCAGAGCAGGAGCGUUAGUUUUGCCGAGAGUUGUCGUAGGGAUAGUCUGCCAUUGUCCGGCCAAUCCCUUAGGAAUUGUAGGACGACUUCGACGUCCCAUAAGCGGGAGUAUUUGGGUUGAGGGGGUCUCUGUAACCGAACGCCCCUCAGGAGUCUGCAGACCAUGGGGUCUUUGCCUACAGGGAUUCCCAUGACCGGGUCGUGCGCCGCCGAAAUCGCGGAGCGGACAACGUUGAGAGAGCGAUAAGAACGGCCUGCGGAAAAAAGAAAGGAAAGAAAAUUCAAAAUGUCCGUCACAGGGGCAGUAAAGGGAUCGAUGUUCCGUUCACUGCACCAAGAGGACCAGGAGGACCAGGCUGAUAGGUAACAUCGUCUGGUACCUGGAGCCCAAGAGUCCCAUAUGAGAUCUCUAGCUGCCUGCGAUAACUCGCUGGUUUGCCAGGCACCCCUGAAAGAGUCCAAGCCACUAGGGCGAGACGGUCUUCCAGGACGAGAGGAUGGGGGUUGUCUUUCGGGUCCGUGAGGAGUGUUGGGUAGGAUGGUAUGAGGAGCGGAUCCAUGAAGGACGAUGCCAGGAGGUCCGGGAACCAGGGUUGGNNNNNNNNNNNNNNNNNNNNNNNNNNNNNNNNNNNNNNNNNNNNNNNNNNNNNNNNNNNNNNNNNNNNNNNNNNNNNNNNNNNNNNNNNNNNNNNNNNNNCUCCCUGUAAUAUUCUCCCUCUCUCCCUGUAAUACUCCCUCCCCCUUCCCCCCUCCAAUCUUCUCCUCACCUGCUCUUCCCUGUAGCGUGGCCGAGCUCCAGGGAAGGGGAGGUGAGGCAGUGCAGCAGCCGUCUGAGCGCUCUCUAUAGAGCGCUCAGUCGGCUGUGGCAUGCCUAGGUCUUAUUUUCGGGGUAGGGCUUAUAUUGCAGCCCACCCCGAUAAUCCAGCUAGGGCUUAUUUUCAGGGUAGGGUGUAUUUUCGGGAAAACAGGGUAUAUAGGUAUAGGAAGGUGGCACAAAAUCCACCUAAUAUCAGUGAACUGAUAGUGGUCCACCACUGUAUGGGGCUGACAGUCCUUAUGGGAGGUUAGAUAGGCAAUACACUAAACUGCUGACCCCUGCCUGAAUUGUGUGUGGCAAGCUCGCGGUCGGGAGCCGAAAAAACGGAGACCGUGGGUCUCCCAAGAUGGCGGCCGUAACUCUCGCGAGACGCGAGAUCCAAUAUGGCCGCCGGAGGGACGGGAAAGGGGUUUCCCGCUGUGUCGGCUAGUGAGUGCGGCUGAGAAGCCGCGCGGCGGACAAAUAGUGAGGAGGGUGAGCGUUACCCUCGAGGAUGAACCAACGAUCCGAUCUCCCAUAAAGGGAGAUCGGAAAAAUGCCGAAAACGAAACAAAAACCCAGAAAAAAAGGGGGAAACAUAAAAAUAAAUAAUAACAAUGAUAAAUAAAACAAUAAAUAAAGGUAAGGGUAUAUAAACAAUAAGGUACCAAUCUAAGUCCCUGAGGGUAGGGGAGAAAUCCUGAGAGGAGACAGUGUAAGGCAGAAGGACAGAAAUCCUAGGAGACAAAAAGGGAAAUUACUAUAUAUAAAGCAUCAAAGAUAAUGAGAAUAACAGUAUGAAACAUGAUAAGUAAGGGAAGAGCCAAAACUCUGACCUGUCUGCUGAUGGAGCAGUAAAGAAAGAGGAGGAGGAGCCUUAUCUCUGUGAAUACUAUGCUUCCUAUUGCAUUUUGAUUGGUUAUCUUUUCACUUUUCUUUACUGCUGUGUGAGUUAGUAAAGAGAGUUUAAUGCAAAAUACGAAGCCUCCUGUCAUGUGGUAAAAUUAAAUAAUGCUUGCACCUCUGUCAGACACCACCAUUUUUUUUUUGCAGCUAUUGCAUAUGCCUGGGCCUGCUCUUGCUAGCCUCCUCUCUGCCUAGCCUGCCCAACACCUGCACAGAUCCCCCCGCUCCCAAAUGCACUUUUCUUGAAUACCCUGCCAGGGUUCACCCUCUUCCCCCUCCCCAAUCCUCCCUCUUUCCAUCCACCCUUCUCCCUCCCCCCGGGGUAUCCUGGGCAUCAUAUCUGUGGAGAACUGGAGAUAAGUGAAUUAUGAAGCUGGAACAUAUUGGCCGCUUUGCUAAAAGACGCCAGCUAAAAAGCUCUUCAUCUCCUCAGUGAUAGCAAGAAGGAACAAGGCAGCGUGACACAUUGGCCGCGUAAUGACAUCGGCAUCAUGUAGUAACGCUGGCAUUGCUGAUAGACGCUGGCGCAUGCUAAAUCGCAAAAAGAAGGACAAACUCCGAAAUCCCCCCAGACAUGAACAUUUCCCUCAAAAAAAGGACAUGUCGGAGGGAAUCCGGACGUAUGGUAACACUAACUUCAAUGAAAAAAAUGUGUAUUUAAGUUUUCAGUUGAGGUAUAUAUACUAAACAGUGAUUUUUAUUUAUUUUGAUAAAUCAGUUUAGUAUAAAUUUAAAAAAAAGGUAAACCACUUAAUUUAGAAAUAAACUUUAUAAGCAAUGCUUGCUUCUUUAAGAGAAGAUAAACUUAUUUAAACCCUUAUAGUGCAAAACUAAGUAUCUGUUCCUAUUCUGAACAUUUUAUAAGAGACAGCUCCAAGUGAUGGUAACAAUCAAUCAAAGAAAGUUAGCUAUGUUGGCUCAUUCCAUUAAUUCACUGCUUCCACAGUAAGAGACACAUAUUUAGAUGGAAUCUCAUUGCUAGAGCAGUAAGUGACUGUAGAUCAAACUGAAACAUGUAAGUUCUGGGCAGGGAGAAAAAAUGACUAAUGCUUCUUUCUCUUGGAUGUGUCAGCGAGAUCAAAGUUUGACUGCCUUAAUCUGAUCUUUGCAAUGGCGGUUACGGGUGUUGUGUUUUGCACACUUUGAAAUCUUAGAGUCUGGAAAUUUCAGUACACAAUUCAAAUGAAAUAACUCUUGAUGAGCUUUUAAAGGAGUACAAUGUGUUUUGGGCUCCUUUAUGCUUUCUUUGUUAUCUUAUUUUUUGGUGCUGCUUGAGUUGGCAAAUAACCAGGUGCCAGACUAGCCUUUAAAUUCUAUUUCGAUUUAGGGCAGACUAAGUUAUAUACAUCUUACACAUCUAUAAAUAUCAAGUAAUUAAAAAAAUCUCACCCCCAGUGUUUACUUGCUAUAUGUAGAUGUAUAAGAUGUGUAGAACUUGUCCUGGUGAAAGUUUUAAAUAUGAAACUGAAACAUUGAUCAAUAAAAGUUACGUUUUAGUUUUUUAACUAAGCCCUAUAGUGCUAUCAAUAUUUCCAUUUUCUAUUAAUACAUUUGUUGGAUUCAAGCACCGGGUCUAAGCAAUUUUGUUUUGUUUGAACUUCAUUUGACUGGUUAUAUUGCCAUAUAUAUAUUGUUAUUUGUGUGUUUGUAUAUUUGGUGAUUGGAGACUGCUCCAUCACUCUGCCCACCAGACGCAUAAUGAGUAUAUUCAGUAAUAAUGUGCGCUCGGACCUAAGCUAUCUGGGGAUAUGUUGCAUGUCUGUAUUUUAUGUAAUAAAUGUAACCUUGUGUAUUUUAUGUAUUUUACUGUCUUUUGCUACCAUGUGUUCAAUGGAGUUUUGCCUCUGUCCUUGGAGAUAAUCGGAUUACUUCCCAAUUAUCUCCAGGAUAGAAGACUCUGUGGAACUGGUUUUGGGCAGAAAAGCCAUGCUUCAUUUGGUCACAAAGGACUUUGAUCUAUCUUUUGAACCAAUGGACCAAUUUGGAUGAUUUUGACAUAUGUUUGUAUUUGAAAAUUAAAUUUUAUGUGAAUGUGAUGUAUACUUUUAAAGUUAUGAAUAAUGUGGAAAAACUGUAUUUCUCUGCCUGUGAUAAUUACAUUAAGCCAUUGUGUAAGGUAAUUGUAUCACAGGCAGAGGGGAGGAUUUUGUGUGGGAGUGUCUGAGUGUAUUGUACGUGUUUAUUGGUUGUUUUCCAAAACUCUGUGGGUGGUACUAAUGUGUAAGAAUGUGUAUAUAAGAACAAUAAACCCACAGCUCUGGCUGUUCCUGCUUGACCCCCAACACGGAGCUUUGUCUCGUUCUUGGGGGGGAUUUACUGUAUGCUGUAAGAGGCUGAUUACCAGGAGUGUAAGCCGCUUGGGUGCUUUUCCUGUUCAGCUGCUAGCAGCUAUUCGUGAGGUUCCAGUUUGGGAGUUUGGAGUGCUACUUUGUAUCCUGUUCGGGAGUUUGGGGUGCUGCGGUAGCUGUGCCUGGGUCUCUGGAAGGGGAAGAUCUUCUAAACGGCGGUUUAACCCCUUUUAUGCCUGGGGGUGCCGUUACAUUCUGUAUCUGUAUGAUAUUUAUAGGCACUUAAGUAUAUUUACUGCCAAGUUUGCAAUAAACCACUACCAGAAUCCUUUUUUUUGUCGUGCUUCAUGCGUAGAUGUUUUGAUUGACAAUGCAACUGUAGUAAAAAAUUUUUUUAAAGUUACAAUAUUAAAGGAACACUCCAUGCACCAUAACCAUUACAGAAGGCUGUAGUGGUAUAUCGUGCUUGGUUUGUUCCUUUGGAGUGACCUGACAGCCCCCCACCCAAUGUAAUUAGUCAAAUUAAAUUAUUUUAGAUUGGUUUGAUUUCUUAUCUGUGGUGCACUUGGCACUGUUUCUUGCCUCUUGUGGAGGCAGAUGCUCUCUGCCUGAGCUAAGCCCGGCGGCACAGAGCUUAUUUCUUUGGCUGAGAGCAGACAGCUGACAUUCUCCGCCAAUAAAUUAGCCCUGCACUGCACAGAGGUCAAAUUGUUCUAAAAUGGUUUGAUUCAACUGACGUUUUGCUUCCCCUGCAAUCACUUUUUUCUUCUGUACCCUAUAUCUUUUGAACUCCAAUAAAAACAACAUAUUUAAAACUAAAAUGGUUUGAUUACUUACAAUGGGGGGAGCCAGGUAAUGCUUCUUAAAAUACAAUAUUUAUUUAUUUUAUGACUUAUUAAAGUGCUGAGGAAUAUGCAUUAAAGGACAACUGUCACCUCAAUACUAUUUUGUAACCUAAUGAUCAUCAAUUUUAACCUAAUGAUCAUCAAUUUUUUUUUUUUUAAUUAAGUCUAUGUAAAACAAAAAUAGAAAAACGAAUCCCUACCUUUAGUAUAUGACAGGAUCUUUCGUGUACCUUGGGUCAUACUAUCUCUGUGUCUACAGAUUACUAGGAGUGAAGGGGUUCAUCAUUAAGGGAAUCAUACUAUUUAUUGUGCCUAGUUUUGAGAAUGGCUUCUUUUUGUUCUAGGUGAGAGAGAAGAGCUGACAAUAACAGCAGAUAGACUAAUGAAUCGCACACUCACUGUGGAGGUCUCCUUAGAAACUAUCCGAAACCCACAGCAGGCCACUGCCCUCCAGCAUGCUACUGCAGUCAUUGAUGAAAUUGCAAAGAAAGUGACAGACAACCUGGAGACUGGCAGGAAACAACUGAUCUCCCUAUAUGGGGCAUGUACUUCAGAUAUCAACCAAGGGCCGAUUGAUCAGAAGUUUCAGUCCAUCAUCAUUGGAUGUGCACUAGAGGAUCAGAAGAAAAUAAAAAGGAGACUGGAAAUGCUCAUCAGGAACAUAGACCAUUCAGAGAAGUCCAUCACACUUUUAGAUCAACAGAAGCAGAGGAAACAUUGAAUAUUGGUAAUACUAGCUAUACAUGUAGAAUGUCUGCUGACUCACAGGCUUCCAUACUAGCACAUUAUUCACAAAACAGUCAGGAAAGGAAUACUUAAAACAAUUAUAAACAUGCAGAUAGCUUGCAUAAGAAAAAAGUGAUCUGUAUAAUGUAGUUACAGAGUUUCUAUAACAAAAUAGCGCUUAGAAGGAACACUGCUGACCAAUACACUGUGCAUAUAUUUCAUUCUUUUCAUUUUACAGAAUGUAUUGAAUGUUACUGUACCAUAUUUAUAUGCUUCUGUUUUACCAUCGUUAGAAUGUGCUGCUUGGAAUAUGUUCAAUUUAGUACACCAGUAGCCUUCACAAAUUAUUAUUAGUUGGUUCCUUUGAGGAAGACCAUAUCCAUAUCAGAUUUUCUAAAUGGUUAAAAGGGGGAGAUAUUUCAGUAAGGUGAAAAACAUCUGUAGGAUUAGACUUAGUUGGAGACUUCAAUGUCAUCUUCCAUUGCAACAUGAUAAAUUAACUCCUUAACUACUCAUUAAUAAGAAUUUCCUUGGGCAGAGGUCUCAGAUGCGUUGGCUAUGGAGAGAUGAAUUUAAUGCUUAAUCCUCAUCUCCUAUAUCUCUUUAUUCUAACUGAAUGUACUAGUGUCAUCAUUUUCAUAAUCUGUUUUAUACAGGGCCAGUUGAAGACCAGCUACUUGCACUCUGCACACCUAAAAACAAAAUUGCCAACUUUGUGUGUCUGUUUCUUCCCCAGCCCCUUUGUGUGUCUCUUUUUUCCCCUUCCCCUCUAUGGGCCUCUUUGUCCCCACCCCAGCGCCUCUGUGUGUCUCUUUGUCCCCCUCCAGCGCCUCUGUGUGUCUUUUUGUCCUUCAAGCCCCUCUUUGUGUCUCUUUUCCCCUGAACCUUUGUCUUACUAGCACCUCUUUGUGUCUCUUUGUCCCCCUAGCCCUCUGUGUCUUUGUCCCCCCAAGCCCCUUAGUGCGUGUCUUUGCUCCCUAUCCCCUCUGUCCCAUCUCUUUGUCCUCCCCAGUCCCUCAGUGCAUCUCUUUGCUCCUCUAACCCGUCUGUCCAUCUUUUUGUCCUUCCCAGCCUCUCUGUGUGUCUCUUUGUACCCCCAACGUUUCUAUGUGCCUCAUUUUCCCCCCAUCAGCCCUCUGUGCACCAUCCCUUCUGUGCGCCUCUUUGCCCCCCCAGCCCUUCUGUGUGUUUCUAUGUGCCUCCCAGCCCUUCUGUGCACCUCUUUGUUUCAACCAGUCCUUCCUCUGUGCCCACACCUCCUUCUCACUUCCUGUGCCUGCUGUUCAUCUUGCGCUAAGCGGACUACGUGGAGGAUCUUCUGCUUCCUCUACCUGGUCUGACAGGAAGCUGUUCAUUGCUCCCAGGUUACAGUCAAACUGGCAGAGGAUACUGAAGAUCACACAUGCAGUGAAUGGCAGAAGGGGGAGUUCUGUGCACCAACACCACAAUGACAGACUGUAGUGGUUAUGGUGCUUAGAGUACCUCUAAAUUAUUAAGUCGUAGUUAAUGUAGAUGGGAAUUGCUUCUGGCCUUGUUGGUUUCUUGCUGCAUACAUUAGGCCUUAUGUUUGACACCUCUGCCCUUGCAUGUUUGUGCUAAAUAUGUGUCAGACCUUCUUCUAUGUGUUUGUAAUAUAGAAUGAUUCUCUGCAAAUAAAACACUGUUUCAAUGCCCAUCUUAAUGCAUUAAUCUGUAUACAGAAAUCUCCACUUUUGGAUUCAAGUAAAAAAUUGUAAAUAAAAAGAAAAACCAA
rnacentral:lncRNA from 1 species